rnacentral:rRNA from 1 species
UACGGAGGGUGCGAGCGUUGUCCGGAAUCAUUGGGCGUAAAGGGCGCGUAGGUGGCCCCUCAAGCGGGCGGUGAAAGUCGGGGGCUCAACCCCCGAUCGGCCGUGCGAACUGGGGGGCUGGAGCACUGUAGAGGCAGGCGGAAUUCCGGGUGUAGCGGUGGAAUGCGUAGAGAUCCGGAAGAACACCGGUGGCGAAGGCGGCCUGCUGGGCAGUAGCCGAAAGGCUUUCAAGCUGACACUGAGGCGCGACAGCGUGGGGAGCAAACAGGAUUGAGAU